AUGGGCCCCAAAAAUAUACUGGUAGUCUUAUUGGUUUCGUGUCUGGUCGCAGAAAUAAAGACAAUGUUUCAGGGCGGUGGCGGUAUACUGGCUGAGUUGGGGCACGCCGAGCAGGGCUUGCGUCGGUUGAAUUGGAUCCGAGAAAACAGGAGGAGGAUCCUGUCCAUGGAUAGAUGCAUCGAAUCGUGGUGCGUUUGGUUUGCGACCCCGAGGACGCGGCGGGAAAAGAAGAGGGUCACCAAUGAGGCUUGCCAUCGGGCUUUUGAGGCCUUCAAAGAGAUCUUCCACAGUCAGGAACAAGGGAUCUGCGGCCGGGCCUACGACGCACAGUGCCGCUUCCACAACAAUCAGUAUCAGUGCACAGCUCAUCACGGCAACGGCAACCAGGUCAUCUCGCUCCAGGAGCCAUGUAUGGUGGCGGUAUACUGGCUCAGUUGGGGCAAGCCGAGCAGGGCUUGCGUCGGUUGAAUUGGAUCCGAGAAAACAGGAGGAGGAUCCUGUCCAUGGAUAGAUGCAUCGAAUCGUGGUGCGUUUGGUUUGCGACCCCGAGGACGCGGCGGGAAAGAAGAGGGUCACCGAUAUGGCUUGCGAACAGGCUUUCGAGGCCUUCAAGAGAUCUUCCACAGUCGGGAACAAGGGAUCUGCGGCCGGACCUACGACGCCCGGUGCCGCUUCCACAACGAUCAGUAUCAGUGCACAGCUCGGCAUGGCAAUGGCAACCAAAUCAUCUCGCUCCAGGAGUGCGUCUACGAUAUCCCUUUGCAGCAGCCCGUCCACCCCGAACCAGAACAUCCUAGCAUGAGGUGUCGAAUCAUCAUAUGGACGUAUUUCUAUCAAACGGAACUAAGCGCCAUCAGGGGAGGAAGGUAGAGGUAGAGGGGGGCUUGGAUUGGCGGCGGAAACGGGCGCCGUGCUCAAUCCGUCCUAUACUCGCAAUGCUUUUCCAUGGCGCUUAGGUCCGUUUGACAGAACGGGCUAUCCGGCAUUCUAAAUUCAUCAAAAGGAACUCAAAUUGGCGCUUAGGUCCGUUUGGUAGAAAUACGUCCAUAUCAUCAUACUCUUUGAUAUAAAUGGACGUAUUUCUACAAACGUUUUCUUUUUUUUUUCGUUUUUUAUGGACGUGUUUCAAUAUGUAAUUUGUGUUUCCAAUUUACACAUGUAUUAAAAUGUUCAAAUUUUAUUCAAGAUAUUUAAAUUGAUGUAGGUAUUUCAUUUUUUUCUUUUUUUUAAAUCUCUCUCUUUCUCUCUCUCCUCUCCCUCUUUUGUAUUUCAUCAAUCAAUGUUUUACUUUAUACUAGAAUCUUUUUCUAGAUUUAAUUAAUAAUUUUCUACAAUAUGUACUUGUGUUUUUCUCAUUUCCUUUGUUAUUUUAUUUCAUCAUGUUAUUUGUGUUUCAAAUUCUUUAUUAAUUGUAUUUAAGAUAUUCAUAUUCAUGUAUUUCAAUUAAUUUUUUUUUUCGUUCUUUUUUUAUCAAAUUACUGUUUUUAUAAUUGCUUCUUUUUCCAGUUUUCAUUUGGGUCUAUUUCUGAUUUUAAUUUAUGUCGAUGUAUUCGUAUUAUUUAUUUAUUUAUUCAUUCAUCUAUUUUAUUUUAUUUUUUUAAAAUGUAUUUUAAUAUUUUUCCCCCACUCUUUUCUAUUUUCUUUUUUCUCUCUCUAUUUUCUAUAAUUAUCAGUUAAAUUUAUUUUAUGUCUGAUCCGGCAGAUUAAUUGGGCAUCCCAAUUUGCCGGGCAGAUCAAUGUUGUGUUUAUUUUAUGUUUUAAUUUUUGAAUAAAAAUAUCUUAUCUUAUCUAUUAAACAGAACCAUGCACUAUGGUCUGGGAGCGCCGAAUCGUGGCCAAAAUCCGAUUUUUGAAAGUACGAAAAUCAAGCAGUCGAGCAUAUAAUCCUUAUCUACAUCCUUUAGUACG
rnacentral:lncRNA from 1 species